CUAUCCUUGAACAGGAAGAGUAUUUGAUGGGUUCUUUGAAAGGAGAAAGAAAAAACUACUGGAAGCUUCGAAUAACUCUUUACAUUAACCUAAACGGCGCCGUCUUGGUUUAUAGAGGGCAAGAGAGCCACCCACCACUCCCAAACCCGAACCGGCGAACCCUAGAAGGCUAGAACCUUCUUCUCUCCAGCGGCCAGCUAACCACCACUCUAAACUCUCUAGCUUGAAAUCUCCUCGUCUCAGCCGCUUGCCGACUCCGGACUCCGAGCUUCCAGGCCUCCGUUCCACUGCUUCGUUUCAAGUCACUCAAGUAGACAGUAAAGUGUGCUUUCGUUAUUUCUGGCUCGGGAUAACUGAAU